UACGUAGGGUGCGAGCGUUAAUCGGACUUACUGGGCGUAAAGCGUGCGCAGGCGGCUUUGCAAGACAGAUGUGAAAUCCCCGGGCUCAACCUGGGAACUGCAUUUGUGACUGCAAGGCUAGAGUACGGCAGAGGGGGAUGGAAUUCCGCGUGUAGCAGUGAAAUGCGUAGAUAUGCGGAGGAACACCAAUGGCGAAGGCAAUCCCCUGGGCCUGUACUGACGCUCAUGCACGAAAGCGUGGGGAGCAAACAGG
rnacentral:rRNA from 1 species